GGUGGGUAACUUCCGCCAGACUUUUCUGGAGAUGGCUAAUCCAGCCGUGGGAUGUGGUUUCUUCUAACAGCCAGUCAGGAAAAUCUUGCUUCUCAAACUCCUGUCUUGACCCCUUCCUGAACUUUGCCUCCUGGAUCUUGAGGUCUGCCUUCUGUGGAAGAGAAAUACUAGAAUCAAUGAACUGUGAACUAGAGCCCUGGGAUUAUCAACAGCCAGCUGAAAUUUUGAGAGCCACCUUAUAGAAAGCCUAACAGCAAAGACUGGAGAGAGGCUUCCAGCCAACAGCCAGCAAGGAAUUGAAGCCCUCAGUCCAAUAGCAGUGAGGAAUUGAAUCCUGCCAACAGCCUCGUGGAUGGGUUGCUUGCUGCCUGAAUCUAACUCCUGCUACUACUGCAAAUACCACUGCCAUGAAUAUCCUCAGCAAGACCCCCUUCCAGACCUGCAUGAACAGUUGUGUGAAAUGUAUAUGCACAAAGGGACUGCAAGGGAAGACCCAGAGACUAGGGAAGAACUUGGAACAAUAAUCUCAGUUUCUUCAAUUCCUAAACUUGAGAGUAUUGCUGUUUUUAAAUGAAAGUAUUUUUUCCCCCUAAGCAUUUUGUUCUAAAGUUGAGCUGCCUUUGAGGGGAAAUAAAGAGACUACCAGAUUAAUGGGUUUUUUUCAAAUGGGAUGGUGGGGUAAGGAAUAAUCGGGGUGGUCUGUGGAACAACUUGGAGGAUUGGUGUUAUGUCUCAAGAAGAUAUUCAAGUAUGUUCCUCCUUUUUUACCCAGACCGACUGCUUCAUGCUGGGCUUCAGACAUGAGAGGCUAGGAGUAGGAGGCAUGCCUUGUUCAAAGAUACCCAGUUCUCCCAGGACCAUUUGUUGAAAAGGCAGGCACCUCAUUUUACAGAAGAGGAAACUGAGGCCCAGAAAGAGAAGUGGCAUGCCCAAGGCUGUGCCAGAAGCAAAGUGUAAAAUAGAUCCUGAGCCUCCGACUCCUGGUCUUAAAUGUGGGAAAUAGUCUACAGUUUGGAAGACACCAGAGAAAAAUGCUCCACAGCUCGCCCUGGUGACUCACUACAACUUAUGGGAAGAUGUGAGAUUAUUCUGUAUUCUAAUGUAUGUUAGAAGGCACACUCCACCCAAAGCCUUCCUGUGUGUUCCUCCCUGUGAGCUCACAUCCCGUUCACCAGCUGACUGGGAAGGGAAGUCAGGACCAGCCCUGACCCCAUCACACCAUCAUAACCUCGGGAUGGCAGGGCUGGAAGGCACCUCAGACGUCAUCCUUUGCAGACUCUUCAUUUUACAGUGAGAGGCAUGACGUGUCCACAGCUGGUUAGUGCCAAAGCCUGGGACAGGCUUCACAUUGUCCAGCUCUUAGUCAGAGCACUGUUGACAAUGUCUGCCUUCACUUGGAAUUCAGCACCUGCUUUCAGUAUAAACCCCUGCAUUUCACUAAAACUGAGCAGACUGCUGGUUUAAAAAAGAGAGGUCCAUCCAGCAGGGAUGAUGCUUUUCCUCGUUGAAAGAGGACAUUCACCUAAUGGGAGACCUGGAGUCAGAAUCUUUCUGAUGUGUGACUUGGCACAGUAACACAAUGCAGGAUGCUGGUGUGUUAAUAAAAAUAAAAAUUGCAUCGCCUACCUCAGAGUCGACAACAAUGUCAAGGAGUUAAUAGUCUUGGCAACACAGAGGCCACUGGACAGAGGCAUAACCUUGCGUGGCAGCUGCACGGGAAUUGGAUUUGGCUCAGGUGUUUCAGAUGACUAAGAACAAAGGGGACCACUCUUGGUAUAGAAGUUCAUCUCGUCGGGAGCAUCUGUGGUUCUUUUAUAAGCAAUGUACAUUCUACAAUAGAGGCAGACCCAGAAAUAAUUCAGAUAUUGGAGUUAGAAGAUCAGGAUUCUAAAAAAACCAAAAGAUCCUGCCUUACUAUGCACCUAUGGCCCUUCAAAGGCGAGAGUAGAAUCUGCUAUGAUUUAGAAGCAAGCAAUAAAAAGUACACAUCAGUUACUGUGUGUUAGGAGUUCCAGCACGGUUUACCUGGAUCCUCUGCUCAGGCUCCAACCAGGCUGCAAACAAGGUGUUGGACAGGCUGCUUUCUCACCUGAAGACUGGACUAGGGAAGAAUCCACUUCCAAGCUCAUUCAAGUUGUUGGUCGAAUUCAUGUCCUCGAGUCUGCAUGAGUGAGGUCCCAGCUCUUACUGACUUUAAUCCUCAGGUCCUAGAGGUGGCUCCCACUUUCCUGCCACUUGGCACUAUCCACAGGGGCUUAACCAGGUGGCUGUUUGCUUCUUCAAGGCCAUCAGGAGAAUUUCUCUCCUGGUUUGCUAAGAUAGAGCCUUAUAUAAUAAAACAUAAUCACAAGAGUGACAUUUCAGCACCUUUACAUAACUACAUAACUUUACAUAACAUAAACCAACCUAAUCAAGGGAGUGUCCUUCCAACAACUUUGCCACACUGCGUUGGUUGCAAGUAAGUCACAAACCCACACUCAAGGGGAUUACACAAGAGUGGAUUAUUGGGGUCUCCUUAAAGCAUGUCCUCCACUAUCUACUUUGAAACUUCUUUACAAAGCUUUCAUUUUGAUGAUUUGUUUCAGAUGACUGAAGCCCACUCUCAUUAAAACUAUUUGGAAACUGCUGUCUAGUGACAUUAUAUUAAAGCCAAUCUGUUUAAACAAGAAAGAGCAGUGCUCCCACUUGGUAGGAGAUAAGACUCCUUACAGCCUCAGCUAUCAACAACAUGGCUUAUGCUAUUUCUUUAUGUACAUAUCUAUAUAUGUCCAGUGCAUGCCAAAUAAGGUCUGUAAGCGUUGAAACAUAAUAAUAAAAUGAACUCAGGUACCCUCAUUCCAAUUUAAGAGCUAAACCAUUAUGAACUCCAUUCUAUCUACCUAUGUAUUUCUUCUUAUGCCAUUCCCCUACCUCCCAGAGGUAACCAACCAUUCAGUUGCUAUAAUUCAUUUGCCUUUUUGAUAAUUUUGUGACACACAUAUUUAACAAUAAAGGAGUGGUGUGCUAUUGCUAACUUCUGAACUAUAAUAAUGGCAUCACAUACCGCAAAGUGUUCUGAGGUUAGCUUUUUCCACACAACGUUAUGUUUUUGAGAUUGAGCUCUGCUGCUUCUCCUAGCUGUAGAUCAAUCAUUUCCACUCGCACAAUUCCACUGUGCAAAGAUGACACAAAUAAGUAGACGUUUUUAUCAAUGGGCAUUUCAGUUCUUUUCAUUUUUCACUGCCAUGAAUACUGCUGCCGUGAACAUUGUCAUGCAUCUCCUAGUACUCAUAUGCAAGUAUUUUUUUUCUGGCGUAUGCACCUAAAAGUAAAAUCACUGAGUCUUAGGGUAUGCAAAUAUUCAACUUUACAAGGAAUGACAAAUUGUUUUCCAAAGCAAACUCUUAUCAGCAACUUAUGAGUUCCUUUAACCUAUUUUCUCCUCAACCAGACUUCUUCAUAUGGCCAAUUUAGAAGCUAUAAAAGGGUAUUUUAUUUUUAUCUUACUUUGUAUUUUUUGAAUAUUAGUAAGUCUAAACAUUUUAUGUGCUUAUUUUCCAUUUGUAUUUUCUCUUCUGUGAGAUGCUGGUUUAUUUCUCUGUUGUUUACAUUUUCCUUCAUAUAUUUGUAGAAGUUCUUCAUAUAUUCAAUGGUUAAACUUUUGUUAAUUCUCGUAUCAAUAAAAUAGCUUCUUAUAAUACA
rnacentral:lncRNA from 1 species